rnacentral:rRNA from 1 species
UGGGGAAUAUUGGGCAAUGGGGGAAACCCUGACCCAGCAACGCCGCGUGAGGGAAGAAGGUUUUCGGAUUGUAAACCCCUGUCCUAUGGGAAGAAGGAAGUGACGGUACCAUAGGAGGAAGCUCCGGCAAACUACGUGCCAGCAGCCGCGGUAAUACGUAGGGAGCGAGCGUUGUCCGGAAUUACUGGGCGUAAAGGGUGCGUAGGCGGUCCUGUAAGUUGGAUGUGAAAUACCCGGGCUCAACCUGGGGGGUGCAUGCAAAACUGUGGGACUAGAGUACGGGAGAGGAAAGCGGAAUUCCUAGUGUAGCGGUGAAAUGCGUAGAUAUUAGGAGGAACACCAGUGGCGAAGGCGGCUUUCUGGACCGAAACUGACGCUGAGGCACGAAAGCGUGGGGAGCAAACAGGAUUAGAUACCCUGGUAGU